GUUUGAGUGAUGACUUUUUAUUGUCGGAUACCCCUUCACUCCUUCCUGAGUGAAACAUGCACAGUCUGACAAAC
rnacentral:snoRNA from 12 species